rnacentral:rRNA from 1 species
CCUUGACAUACUAAGAACUUUCCAGAGAUGGAUUGGUGCCUUCGGGAACUUAGAUACAGGUGCUGCAUGGCUGUCGUCAGCUCGUGUCGCGAGAUGUUGGGUUAAGUCCCGNAACGAGCGCAACCCUUUUCCUUAUUUGCCAGCGGGUCAUGCCGGGAACUUUAAGGAUACUGCCAGUGACAAACUGGAGGAAGGCGGGGACGACGUCAAGUCAUCAUGGCCCUUACGGCCAGGGCUACACACGUGCUACAAUGGUCGGUACAAAGGGUUGCUACCUCGCGAGAGGAUGCUAAUCUCAAAAAGCCGAUCGUAGUCCGGAUCGCAGUCUGCAACUCGACUGCGUGAAGUCGGAAUCGCUAGUAAUCGCGGAUCAGAAUGCCGCGGUGAAUACGUUCCCGGGCCUUGUACACACCGCCCGUCACACCAUGGGAGUUUGUUGCACCAGAAGUAGGUAGUCUAACCGCAAGGAGGACGCUUACCACGGUGUGGCCGAUGACUGGGGUGAAGUCGUAACAAGGUAAGCGUAGAUGA